rnacentral:rRNA from 1 species
UACGUAGGGUGCAAGCGUUGUCCGGAAUUAUUGGGCGUAAAGAGCUCGUAGGCGGUUUGUCGCGUCUGCUGUGAAAUCCCGAGGCUCAACCUCGGGCGUGCAGUGGGUACGGGCAGACUGGAGUGCGGUAGGGGAGAUCGGAAUUCCUGGUGUAGCGGUGAAAUGCGCAGAUAUCAGGAGGAACACCGGUGGCGAAGGCGGAUCUCUGGGCCAUUACUGACGCUGAGGAGCGAAAGCGUGGGGAGCGAACAGG